rnacentral:rRNA from 2 species
GGGUUGUGAGGUUAAGCGACUAAGCGUACACGGUGGAUGCCCUGGCAGUCAGAGGCGAUGAAGGACGUGCUAAUCUGCGAAAAGCGCCGGCGAGGUGAUAUGAACCUUUGACCCGGCGAUGUCCGAAUGGGGAAACCCAGUGUGUUCCGACACACUAUCGUUAACUGAAUACAUAGGUUAACGAGGCGAACCGGGGGAACUGAAACAUCUAAGUACCCCGAGGAAAAGAAAUCAACCGAGAUUCCCCCAGUAGCGGCGAGCGAACGGGGAGCAGCCCAGAGUCUGAAUCAGCUUGUGUGUUAGUGGAAGCGUCUGGAAAGUCGCACGGUACAGGGUGACAGUCCCGUACACGAAAAUGCACAGGUUGUGAACUCGAAGAGUAGGGCGGGACACGUGGUAUCCUGUCUGAAUAUGGGGGGACCAUCCUCCAAGGCUAAAUACUCCUGACUGACCGAUAGUGAACCAGUACCGUGAGGGAAAGGCGAAAAGAACCCCGGCGAGGGGAGUGAAAAAGAACCUGAAACCGUGUACGUACAAGCAGUGGGAGCACCUUCGUGGUGUGACUGCGUACCUUUUGUAUAAUGGGUCAGCGACUUAUAUUCUGUAGCAAGGUUAACCGUAUAGGGGAGCCGAAGGGAAACCGAGUCUUAACUGGGCGUUAAGUUGCAGGGUAUAGACCCGAAACCCGGUGAUCUAGCCAUGGGCAGGUUGAAGGUUGGGUAACACUAACUGGAGGACCGAACCGACUAAUGUUGAAAAAUUAGCGGAUGACUUGUGGCUGGGGGUGAAAGGCCAAUCAAACCGGGAGAUAGCUGGUUCUCCCCGAAAGCUAUUUAGGUAGCGCCUCGUGAACUCAUCUUCGGGGGUAGAGCACUGUUUCGGCUAGGGGGCCAUCCCGGCUUACCAACCCGAUGCAAACUACGAAUACCGAAGAAUGUUAUCACGGGAGACACACGGCGGGUGCUAACGUCCGUCGUGAAGAGGGAAACAACCCAGACCGCCAGCUAAGGUCCCAAAGUCAUGGUUAAGUGGGAAACGAUGUGGGAAGGCACAGACAGCCAGGAUGUUGGCUUAGAAGCAGCCAUCAUUUAAAGAAAGCGUAAUAGCUCACUGGUCGAGUCGGCCUGCGCGGAAGAUGUAACGGGGCUAAACCAUGCACCGAAGCUGCGGCAGCGACGCUUAUGCGUUGUUGGGUAGGGGAGCGUUCUGUAAGCCGUUGAAGGUGUGCUGUGAGGCAUGCUGGAGGUAUCAGAAGUGCGAAUGCUGACAUAAGUAACGAUAAAGCGGGUGAAAAGCCCGCUCGCCGGAAGACCAAGGGUUCCUGUCCAACGUUAAUCGGGGCAGGGUGAGUCGACCCCUAAGGCGAGGCCGAAAGGCGUAGUCGAUGGGAAACAGGUUAAUAUUCCUGUACUUGGUGUUACUGCGAAGGGGGGACGGAGAAGGCUAUGUUAGCCGGGCGACGGUUGUCCCGGUUUAAGCAUGUAGGCGGAGGUUCCAGGUAAAUCCGGUACCUUUUAACGCUGAGGUGUGAUGACGAGGCACUACGGUGCUGAAGUAACAAAUGCCCUGCUUCCAGGAAAAGCCUCUAAGCAUCAGGUAACAUCAAAUCGUACCCCAAACCGACACAGGUGGUCAGGUAGAGAAUACCAAGGCGCUUGAGAGAACUCGGGUGAAGGAACUAGGCAAAAUGGUGCCGUAACUUCGGGAGAAGGCACGCUGAUAUGUAGGUGAAGCCCCUGCGGGUGGAGCUGAAAUCAGUCGAAGAUACCAGCUGGCUGCAACUGUUUAUUAAAAACACAGCACUGUGCAAACACGAAAGUGGACGUAUACGGUGUGACGCCUGCCCGGUGCCGGAAGGUUAAUUGAUGGGGUUAGCGGCAACGCGAAGCUCUUGAUCGAAGCCCCGGUAAACGGCGGCCGUAACUAUAACGGUCCUAAGGUAGCGAAAUUCCUUGUCGGGUAAGUUCCGACCUGCACGAAUGGCGUAAUGAUGGCCAGGCUGUCUCCACCCGAGACUCAGUGAAAUUGAACUCGCUGUGAAGAUGCAGUGUACCCGCGGCAAGACGGAAAGACCCCGUGAACCUUUACUAUAGCUUGACACUGAACACUGGUCCUUGAUGUGUAGGAUAGGUGGGAGGCUUUGAAGCGUGGACGCCAGUCUGCGUGGAGCCGUCCUUGAAAUACCACCCUUUAAUGGCUGGUGUUCUAACGUAGACCCGUAAUCCGGGUUGCGGACAGUGUCUGGUGGGUAGUUUGACUGGGGCGGUCUCCUCCCAAAGAGUAACGGAGGAGCACGAAGGUUAGCUAAUCCUGGUCGGACAUCAGGAGGUUAGUGCAAUGGCAUAAGCUAGCUUGACUGCGAGAGUGACGGCUCGAGCAGGUGCGAAAGCAGGUCAUAGUGAUCCGGUGGUUCUGAAUGGAAGGGCCAUCGCUCAACGGAUAAAAGGUACUCCGGGGAUAACAGGCUGAUACCGCCCAAGAGUUCAUAUCGACGGCGGUGUUUGGCACCUCGAUGUCGGCUCAUCACAUCCUGGGGCUGAAGUAGGUCCCAAGGGUAUGGCUGUUCGCCAUUUAAAGUGGUACGCGAGCUGGGUUUAGAACGUCGUGAGACAGUUCGGUCCCUAUCUGCCGUGGGCGCUGGAGAAUUGAGGGGGGCUGCUCCUAGUACGAGAGGACCGGAGUGGACGCAUCACUGGUGUUCGGGUUGUCAUGCCAAUGGCACUGCCCGGUAGCUAAAUGCGGAAAAGAUAAGUGCUGAAAGCAUCUAAGCACGAAACUUGCCCCGAGAUGAGUUCUCCCUGAGACUUUAAGUCUCCUGAAGGAACGUUGAAGACGACGACGUUGAUAGGUCGGGUGUGUAAGCGCAGCGAUGCGUUGAGCUAACCGAUACUAAUGAACCGUGAGGCUUAACCUUACAACGCCGAAG